rnacentral:rRNA from 1 species
AUCGUAAGGACAUGUGGAGCGCUUAGAAGUGAGAAUGCCGGUGUGAGUAGUGAAAGACGGGUGAGAAUCCCGUCCACCGAUUGACUAAGGUUUCCAGAGGAAGGCUCGUCCGCUCUGGGUUAGUCGGGUCCUAAGCUGAGGCCGACAGGCGUAGGCGAUGGAUAACAGGUUGAUAUUCCUGUACCACCUAUAAUCGUUUUAAUCGAUGGGGGGACGCAGUAGGAUAGGCGAAGCGUGCGAUUGGAUUGCACGUCUAAGCAGUAAGGCUGAGUAUUAGGCAAAUCCGGUACUCGUUAAGGCUGAGCUGUGAUGGGGAGAAGACAUUGUGUCUUCGAGUCGUUGAUUUCACACUGCCGAGAAAAGCCUCUAGAUAGAAAAUAGGUGCCCGUACCGCAAACCGACACAGGUAGUCAAGAUGAGAAUUCUAAGGUGAGCGAGCGAACUCUCGUUAAGGAACUCGGCAAAAUGACCCCGUAACUUCGGGAGAAGGGGUGCUCUUUAGGGUUAACGCCCAGAAGAGCCGCAGUGAAUAGGCCCAAGCGACUGUUUAUCAAAAACACAGGUCUCUGCUAAACCGUAAGGUGAUGUAUAGGGGCUGACGCCUGCCCGGUGCUGGAAGGUUAAGAGGAGUGGUUAGCUUCUGCGAAGCUACGAAUCGAAGCCCCAGUAAACGGCGGCCGUAACUAUAACGGUCCUAAGGUAGCGAAAUUCCUUGUCGGGUAAGUUCCGACCCGCACGAAAGGCGUAACGAUUUGGGCACUGUCUCAACGAGAGACUCGGUGAAAUCAUAGUACCUGUGAAGAUGCAGGUUACCCGCGACAGGACGGAAAGACCCCGUGGAGCUUUACUGUAGCCUGAUAUUGAAAUUCGGCACAGCUUGUACAGGAUAGGUAGGAGCCUUUGAAACGUGAGCGCUAGCUUACGUGGAGGCGCUGGUGGGAUACUACCCUAGCUGUGUUGGCUUUCUAACCCGCACCACUUAUCGUGGUGGGAGACAGUGUCAGGCGGGCAGUUUGACUGGGGCGGUCGCCUCCUAAAAGGUAACGGAGGCGCUCAAAGGUUCCCUCAGAAUGGUUGGAAAUCAUUCAUAGAGUGUAAAGGCAUAAGGGAGCUUGACUGCGAGACCUACAAGUCGAGCAGGGUCGAAAGACGGACUUAGUGAUCCGGUGGUUCCGCAUGGAAGGGCCAUCGCUCAACGGAUAAAAGCUACCCCGGGGAUAACAGGCUUAUCUCCCCCAAGAGUUCACAUCGACGGGGAGGUUUGGCACCUCGAUGUCGGCUCAUCGCAUCCUGGGGCUGUAGUCGGUCCCAAGGGUUGGGCUGUUCGCCCAUUAAAGCGGUACGCGAGCUGGGUUCAGAACGUCGUGAGACAGUUCGGUCCCUAUCCGUCGUGGGCGUAGGAAAUUUGAGAGGAGCUGUCCUUAGUACGAGAGGACCGGGAUGGACAUACCUCUGGUGUACCAGUUGUCGUGCCAACGGCAUAGCUGGGUAGCUAUGUGUGGACGGGAUAAGUGCUGAAAGCAUCUAAGCAUGAAGCCCCCCUCAAGAUGAGAUUUCCCAACUUCGGUUAUAAGAUCCCUCAAAGAUGAUGAGGUUAAUAGGUUCGAGGUGGAAGCAUGGUGACAUGUGGAGCUGACGAAUACUAAUCGAUCGAAGACUUAAUCAA